GGGCGUGUUACCUCUUAAAUUGGUUGAACAACGCAGUAUACAGAUAUGGAAGUGCUCCUCUCUUCAAACCAAUAUCCCAAUACAAAAUAAAACAAAUCUCACAAGCAUAUAGUACUACAAGAAUAACAACUCUUAGUAAGUAUUUGCUAGUACAAGAUUGAUUUUUUAAAGUGCUACUAUUCCUCAGCACAUACGGCUUCAGGGCUGCCUUCCUCACUAGAUUGUUUGACUUCUGCUUCUUCUAAUGGCUC
rnacentral:lncRNA from 1 species